rnacentral:rRNA from 1 species
UAACUUAGUGGCGGACGGGUGAGUAACGCGUGGGUAACCUGCCUUACACAGGGGGAUAACACUUAGAAAUAGGUGCUAAUACCGCAUAAGCGCACAGUCCCGCAUGGGACAGAGUGAAAAACAUUAGUGGUGUAAGAUGGACCCGCGUCUGAUUAGCUUGUUGGCGGGGUAACGGCCCACCAAGGCGACGAUCAGUAGCCGGCCUGAGAGGGUGGACGGCCACAUUGGGACUGAGACACGGCCCAAACUCCUACGGAAGGCAGCAG